rnacentral:rRNA from 1 species
AUAAGACCUGGGAUAACUUCGGGAAACCGGAGCUAAUACCGGAUAAUCAUUUUGGAACCGCAUGGUUCAAAAGUGAAAGACGGUCUUGCUGUCACUUAUAGAUGGAUCCGCGCUGCAUUAGCUAGUUGGUAAGGUAACGGCUUACCAAGGCAACGAUGCAUAGCCGACCUGAGAGGGUGAUCGGCCACACUGGAACUGAGACACGGUCCAGACUCCUACGGGAGGCAGCAGUAGGGAAUCUUCCGCAAUGGGCGAAAGCCUGACGGAGCAACGCCGCGUGAGUGAUGAAGGUCUUCGGAUCGUAAAACUCUGUUAUUAGGGAAGAACAUAUGUGUAAGUAACUGUGCACAUCUUGACGGUACCUAAUCAGAAAGCCACGGCUAACUACGUGCCAGCAGCCGCGGUAAUACGUAGGUGGCAAGCGUUAUCCGGAAUUAUUGGGCGUAAAGCGCGCGUAGGCGGUUUUUUAAGUCUGAUGUGAAAGCCCACGGCUCAACCGUGGAGGGUCAUUGGAAACUGGAAAACUUGAGUGCAGAAGAGGCAAGUGGAAUUCCAUGUGUAGCGGUGAAAUGCGCAGAGAUAUGGAGGAACACCAGUGGCGAAGGCGACUUUCUGGUCUGUAACUGACGCUGAUGUGCGAAAGCGUGGGGAUCAAACGGGAUUAGAUACCUGGUAGUCCACGCCGUAAACGAUG